GGGCUCCUGGGGCAAUGGCCUUUGGUAGUAUAUAGUGAGUGUACUUAAUAGAACAAAGAACAGAUACAGGAGUAUAGUGACAAGAUGGGUAAAGAACCCUAGGUCCAACAUACCCACAUUGUGGUUGACCAUCCUAUAGACAUUAGUUUGCUAACCAAUUUUUAAAAAUGAUUUUAAACUGCCAUAUAUCUUUUUGACUUUUGCCCUACUGUUGCUUCAUUCUCCAAACUAGACCUCCAGAGGGUUUCUGAAGGUGUCAAGUCAUCUAACUUUGGAAAUCUUGCCCUGAGACCAUGUUGUCCUCAUUGGCCACAGACUCCAUUCCAUCAAUCUAGAAAAGGAUGAAGAAAAAGACCAAAAACUCUAGACCAUUUCUCAGGGAUACAUGAUAUAAAGCAGAAGAAGAAUUGUGUAUGUGGAAAGGAGUUGGUCCUUAGACUCUCCUGGUUUACUAUUUGGUAUAAAUAAGAAGUCCUUCAUUCUCAAAUGAUAUGCAAGAAAAGUCCAAAUCUGUUUAGUCAAAUAGUUUUAAAGACAUAGGCAGUUCAAAAUUUCAGAAAAAAAGGUACAAGCAACCAUGCAAUAAUUUAUUGCAAAAUUCUACAAAUAUGCUGGUCUAACCUUUCACUCUUUCAGUAUCAGGUUGCCAAUACCUUUCAUAUGGGUGAUACUAUUUUAGGUGUUUAGGCAUGUCCAAACACAGAUUAUAGCUAUAUGCAAAAUAACAUGUAUGAUAAAAUAAUUUUUAUAUGAACCAGCAAAUGU
rnacentral:lncRNA from 1 species